CAGCCCAGGUUUCAGGCUAUUCUGGUGUUGUUAUUGAAGCCAGGGACAUAAUCUAUAGCAGGUUUAUGGCCUAAGCAUAUGUUUGGAGUUCUAGAUGUACCUCUGUAUGUAUGUUCAGUGGUGUCGACCCGGAAGUUUAUUGUUGUCGGUUCCCAACGUCCAGAGGGCGUGAUGGAGCUGGAGGACCUUGGUGCAGAGUACUUGGAGAGCUUCUCUGCCUCUGUACAUCCUCCAUCUGAUCCUAAAGUAAUCAUGCCCAUCCGCCACACAUUUCUGUGUCCUAGAAAACACCUUUGCCUUAUAUCGUCUCCCUCACUUCAUCAUCGUCAAUGGUAGUGCGAGAAGAUCACGAUGAGAAAAAUUCAUAGUAAAUCAGGAUGAACUCACUUAUUGGUAAUUUGGGAUUACACGCAUCUACAGAGCAAGAGCAUGGAUAUAAAAAUGGGUUGGAGAUGGAAUUGAUCUACUCCAGUGCAGGGGUUACUUGAAGAAAAUCAUGUUCUUUUACAGAUAAUAAAAAUGUUUUAUUUGUUCCAAAGGUAAGCUAUUAUGAAUUCAUAUUAUGAUGCUACAAAAUUGCCUAAAAAGAGUUUUACUACUACUGAAAUUAUUAGUCUGCCUUUUUAAAACUAAUCUUUCCAUUUAUUAGAAUCUUUUUCUACAACUUAUUUGAUCUGCAAGAUACUGCACUGCCUACUAAUCUUUGUUAAAGUUGUCUAUGAUGUUGUAUAACCAGACUUUUGUGCGUAUAUGCAUCAAUCUAAUUUACUAAGCACACAUGUAAUCAAUGGACUAAUAUCCAUUGAUGAGGUCCCAGAUAAACAAAUAAACAAGCUAAGAAGGUACCAGAGUGGAAGAAGGUCACAUGGUCCGAUGAAGAGAGCAUGUUUUUUUGUGAGGUGAGAUCUGAAUUUUAUCUGCUUGAUGAAGAAGAUGCUACAAAAUUGCCUAAAAAGAGUUUUACUACUACUGAAAUUAUUAGUCUGCCUUUUUUAAACUAAUCUUUCCAUUUAUUAGAAUCUUUUUCUACAACUUAUUUGCUCUGCAAGAUACUGCACUGCCUACUAAUCUUUGUUAAAGUUGUCUAUGAUGUUGUAUAACCAGAGUUUUGUGCGUAUAUGCAUCGAUCUAAUUUACUAAGCACACAUGUAAUCAAUGGACUAAUAUCCACUGAUGAGGUCCUAGAUAAGCAAAUAAACAAGCUAAGAAGGUCCCAGAGUGGAAGAAGGUCACAUGGUCUGAUGAAGAGAGCAUGCUUUUUUGUGAGGUGAGAUCUGAAUUGUAUCUGCUUGAUGAAAAAUUCACUUCAAUGUUGCUUUUAACGGAUCUGCAUAUGGUAGACCUGAAGGUUAGGAUCGUUGCAAUGUCGCCUUCUGGUGGCGUGGUGGCUGACGAGUCAGAGCGAGCACAACAUAGGUAGACCUGAAGGUUAGGAUCACUUCCGGUGGCCACCAAGUCAGAGCGAGCUGAAGCUAACUGGGUGGUGCUAGACAGGAGGGUGCUUGCUCCAAGAUAAAGGACCUUGUACUGAUGCCGGGACUAUUUGUGCUUCUAAGGUGAGAUAUCCAUGCUACAGAUAUCACAUGAUCGAUUCUUUGAAGGCGUGCUAAUUUGGGCUUGUUGUGACAUAAAUUUGAGCCAAUGUAAUAUGUAUGCUAUUUUGUAAUCAUAUAUAUUGUUUCUUGGGUUCUGUUGCCUAAUUGUAUGCUUAUUUUAGUUUGCUUACCUUUUACUGUGUGCAAUCCAGUGAUGCAAAUGCUCCUUUGAGCAUAUAUGAGAGCUUAGUGUGUUAUUUUCUGAUUAGAUACACUGGAUUGGUAUGUUUUUUCGCUGUAAGUAACAACAUAAUUUGGUUUGUAACGCAACAUCAGGUUUAUUUAUAUAAAAUUGUGGUUUCAUA